UUUGAGGACCGCUCGAGUCGAUUCAACCGAGUCCUUGGAAAGAUUCGACUCAAAAAACGAAUCGUUCGCGAAUCGGACUGUCACUUAACACAGCUCCCGUUAAAACACGUGGUGUGAACUACUAAAACAUGACAAACCCACCGUGCCGGACAGUAUCCUGUGAAUCAUUGCGAAGAACGAUUAAAACCGGGUUCGAGGAGAAAGCUGCGAACGAGGCCAAACCGAUCUCACAAACCGAACGCGGAUCAGAACGCGCUCACUGAGGACAACAGUGCUGUCUGGACAGAUGGAAUCCCUUAAAUCUGUGGCACAAGGUCCUGCACUCUGUUCUCUCCGCUCCCUCUCUGUGAGAGCAGAGUGCAUCUGAGAAGCUCUGGGAUUUAUUCACUGAGAGCCUCCUUCUGACACGGAGCCGCAGCUUGAUAGUGCUCUGGGCCCACUGCAGAAGUGCUGUUUGCUGGAUUUGUAUUCUAGGAGAAAAGGGCUUUUCCCUGCUGUGGAUGAACUGAGAAUGAAGAGAGCGUUUGGUGGAACUGUGUCUGGAUAUGAGAAGAUAAUCUGACAUGGAUGGGUUUCACCAGCACUUCUUGAUUCAGACUCAGCUGUACGGUUAAUGCUCAGCUCUUGCCCCCUCCAUGUCUUCUCUUCGUGAGUGAGCGCCACUGAAAUUAAAAGCUCACUGCUUUUGUUUAUCCAUGGACCUUUUUCACUUUUCUGUGUUUCUCAGCAGCAGAAGUCGUACUUCAAGAGCAGUCAGUGGGAUAAACACAUAUAUUUUUUGCAGGGCUGGAGUGGGACUCAUUUUGAGCUCUGGAGUUUCAUGCCUUAGACCGGCCCACUUCAGUUCACCACUGAGCUAUACUAAAAUAAUGUGCUGCUGUCUGGGAGUCAACAGAUAAUUGCCAAUUAACUUAAAUGGAAAAUAAGGGAAUAUUGUGAUUCUUUAUAAGAAAAUAAGGGACAGAAUGAGGGACGGUCAAAAUAUUUGUACUGUACCAUAAUGUAUGUCUGCCUGCAGUUAAAAAGUUCUCAGAAAUAAUCACAUUUGUUCUGGUUAACCUAUUUAUGUACAAUUAUUCUAAAAAUAAUUUUUAAUGUCAUCUAAAAAAAUGUAAAUUGUACCAUUAUAGAAGUGUGACUGCACAAGUAGUGAAGUAAUUUAGGAGGUGAAGAUACUGUGAAAUUACACACGCACAAAUGGCAUGAGAUAUAAAGCAUAACAACUGAAGAUCUGUGAAGCGCCAGUCAAUAAAGCAUUUUUUAAACAAUAUGGCACUUACAUUUUUGAACUAAAAUAUAUUGCAAUGGGUGAAUGAAAAUGCAUAUUUUUCAAUUACAGAAAAAUUAGAGCGUGUGGGCUGCUUCUGGUGCUUGGUCUUAAAGACUUCCACAAACGGCUAUGUUCACAAAUACAACAACGAUUUGCGCAAAAAGAGUGAUUAAUUAUACAUUAAGAAUUUGUUAUUCAUAUGGUCUGGUGGUCAUAUAGCGUAUGCCUGCGAAUACUGUACAGACUAUGUUAUAGCUUUCAUACGGGACGCUUCUUAAAUACAGGCAUCCGUAAUACCAAUUUGUGAAAAAUCCUAAUUUAACGUAUCAUAUCUUAAGUACUAAGAUAAGAAACAUUAGGUGUGUCCCAUAUCACGAACUUAUGCAUUAUUCCAUGACGUUUUGUAGUAUAAAUAGUGUGAGUAGUGUGUUCACACUGAAUAGUCCAAAAAGAAAAAGUGCAGUUUAAAUACCCGGAUGAUGCACUUCAGUAACCGAACAUAUGAAAUGCUGGACGCUUCAUGCAGUCAACAGUCGCAGCUGUACGUCACAAAGGGGGAGGGGACAUCGGACUCUGAUUAUUAAUGACAAAUAACCUUAUAAUAUUCAUACACUACAUGGUAGAGUACAUAAUGCAUAAGUACAUAUAUAGUGUAUACAGCGUCAUUUGGAGUGCCGGUAUACUGUAAUAGGAGCCCAGAUGAGUCCAGACUAUUCAAUGUAAACAGGGCUUGCCAUAUCACGCGACUGUUAACGACCGUGAGUGUGGUAAGAAAGUGUUAAAUAUAAUAUAUAAUGAGGUGUUUAGUAGGAAGUGAAUGGGGGGCUGAUAGGAAGGCAUUAAAAGCCAUAUAUAGUGGGCUGAUUAGAUCUGUAUUUGAUUAUGGUUGUGUGGUGUAUGGAUCAGCAGCAGAUACAUCACUUAGAAAGUUGUUAUGUACAGGAGCUAUAAAAACUACACCAAUCGUAGCACUACAGGUAGAAAUGGGGGAAAUGUCUUUAGAAAUGAGAAGGAUACAGUUAUCACUGAGUUAUUGGGCUAAUUUACAAGGCCACAGUCAAGAGCAUCCUACACAAGACACUUUAAAGCCCUGUUGGGAAAAAGAGAGGAGAAAAACUAAAAGUUUCGGAUGGACAGUAUUACAGAAAGCAAUAGAAUUCAAAGUUAAUCAAUUAAUAGUUAGUCCAACUAUUGCGCUACCAGUAAUAAAACCAUGGUUACUCUCAGAUGCUACAGUAGAUUUUACAUUGUUAGAAAAGAAAAACAGGGACAAAGAAUGGAGUUCAUGUAAUGUGCAGAAAUAUAUUAAUGAUUACCACAGCUAUGUUCAGAUAUAUACAGACGCAUCAAAGAAUAUAGACAAUAGGAUAGGAGUCGCUUUUAUUGUUCCAGAGUUUCAGUUAGCAAUAAGGAAAAGGAUUAGUGAUGAGUUAUCGGUUUAUACAGGGGAA